AAUAGAUACCCCGGUAGUCCACGCCGUAAACGAUGAGUGCUAAGUGUUAGAGGGUUUCCGCCCUUUAGUGCUGCAGCAAACGCAUUAAGCACUCCGCCUGGGGAGUACGGCCGCAAGGCUGAAACUCAAAGGAAUUGACGGGGGCCCGCACAAGCGGUGGAGCAUGUGGUUUAAUUCGAAGCAACGCGAAGAACCUUACCAGGUCUUGACAUCCUCUGCCACUCCUAGAGAUAGGAUUUUCCCCUUCGGGGGACAGAGUGACAGGUGGUGCAUGGUCGUCGUCAGCUCGUGUCGUGAGAUGUUGGGUUAAGUCCCGCAACGAGCGCAACCCUUGAUCUUAGUUGCCAGCAUUCAGUUGGGCACUCUAAGGUGACUGCCGGUGACAAACCGGAGGAAGGUGGGGAUGACGUCAAAUCAUCAUGCCCCUUAUGACCUGGGCUACACACGUGCUACAAUGGAUGGUACAAAGGGUCGCAAAACCGCGAGGUCGAGCCAAUCCCACAAAACCAUUCUCAGUUCGGAUUGCAGGCUG
rnacentral:rRNA from 1 species